rnacentral:antisense_RNA from 1 species
GCGCUGAACUCGAACCGGCCGCCCGCCACCAGGGUCUGCUCGCCGAGAUAGUCGCCGUCGGCCAGCACGCCGAGGCUCUGGUCGUCGCCGUACGCGCCGCGCCCGACCUUGGCCACCCGGCCGUGGGCGAUGAGCACCAACUGGUCCACCUGGCCGCCCUCGGCGACGAUCUCCUCAUCCGCCUCCACCUCGCGCUGGGUGAAGCGGCCGGCCAGGGCUUCGAGCACCUCCAUGUCGUCGAAGCCGCGCAACAUCGGCAGCUCCGUCAGCUCGGCGGGGAUGACCCGCACCUCGGAGCCGGUGGUGCUGAAGGUGAUGCGGCCGUCGCCCAGCGUGUACGUCAGCCGCCGGUUCACCCGGAACACACCGCCGGAGCACUGCACCCACGGCAGCAGCUUCAGCAGCCACCUGGUGGUGAUCUCCUGCAUCUGCGGCGGUGUCUUGGUGGUCGUCGCGAGCUGUUUGGCGGCAUCGGUGCUGAGGCUGAGCUGCCCGUUG